UACGUAGGGUGCAAGCGUUAAUCGGAAUUACUGGGCGUAAAGCGUGCGCAGGCGGCUUUGCAAGACAGAUGUGAAAUCCCCGGGCUUAACCUGGGAACUGCAUUUGUGACUGCAAGGCUGGAGUGCGGCAGAGGGGGAUGGAAUUCCGCGUGUAGCAGUGAAAUGCGUAGAUAUGUGGAGGAACACCGAUGGCGAAGGCAGCCUCCUGGGCCAACACUGACGCUCAUGCACGAAAGCGUGGGGAGCAAACAGG
rnacentral:rRNA from 1 species